UAGAGUUUAGCCAUUGGAAAUUGAAGGGAAGCUUCCUAAAGGGAUUUGGGUUUGUAUUUAUGUAGACAGAGCCCGGGAUGGGACCCGGGGGGUGGCCAUGGGUUUUAUGUGGUCCAGCGUUGAACGAAGGGUUUUCCAUAUCUAAACCUGAUGUGGUCUUCCAGUUAGAACAAGGCAAAGAGCUGUGGAUUCUUAAUCUGCCAAGAAUUAAAGAACAACAGUUGCCAAAAAAUUCUUCAGACUGGGAGAGCCAACCUGAACAUCCACAAGUCAUCUCCAAAGUUAAACAUUUCUGAAGAAAUAGAAUGACCAGGGAUAGUAAUGGUUCCUUUAGACCUUGCAUUUGGUGGAAUCUAUGUACCUGAAUGCACAUUGGAUAGAAAGAAAGAAAACUCUAAAGGCAAGACAUGGGAAACAUCCCUUUUCCAUGAGAGAGAUUUCAGUCAAGUGUUAAUCACCUACCAACAAAACUGCACUAAUGAUAGAGGCCAUGAAUGUCACACAUGUGGGAAAUCCUUCUUUGACUGCUCAUGUCUUACCAAACAGCAGAGAAGUCACAGUAGAGAGAGUUCCUUUGAAUGUAAGGAAUGUGGGAAACUGUUUAGUUGGAAAUGUAAUCUUACUCGACAACAGCUAGCACAUACUGGAGAGAAACCUUAUGUAUGUAAAGAUUGUGGGAAAGCCUUCUUGAACCAUUCAUAUCUUACUAUAUAUAAGUGAAUUCAUACUGGAGAAAAGUCAUAUAACUGUGAAUGUGGAAAAGCUUUCUCUAAACAUUUGUCUCUUACUAAACAUGAGAGAAUUCAUACUGGAGAGAAGCCUUAUAAAUGUAAUGAAUGUGGGCAAACUUUCAGACAUAGAAGUGGCCUUAUGAGACAUCAGCUGAUUCACACAGGAGAAAGUCCCUAUAAAUGUAGUGAAUGUGGGAAACCGUUCUUAAAUCCCUCAUCCCUUGGUGUUCAUAAGAAAACUCAUACUGGAGAGAAGCCCUAUGAAUGUGAUGAAUGUGAGAAAGCCUUUGCUAGACAUUCAUCUCUUUCUCUACAUCAAAGGAUUCAUACUGAAGAGAAGCCCUAUGAAUGUGAUAAAUGUGGGAAAGCCUUCUCUAAACAUUCGUCCCUCGCUGAACAUGAAAGAAUUCAUACUGGAGAAAAACCUUAUAAAUGCAGUGAAUGUGGGAAAGCUUUCUGACAUAGAACUGGCAUUAUGAGACAUAGGAUGACUCACACGGUGGAAAAUCUCUAAAAACGUAAUAAAUGUGGAAAACACUUCCUAAAUUCUUCAUCCCUUACCGUUCAUGAAAAUUUGCCCUGGAAGAAAAGCUCUGUGAAUGUAGGAAAAUCUCUAGACAUUCAUCUGUUUCUCUAUAUCAAAGGACCUCAACUAGAGAGAAAUUUUAUCUAUAAAAUAUGUGGGAGAAAACUUUUUGUAGCAGCAUCAAAGAUAGUAAGCCAGAGAAAAAUCCUGAGAAUAUAAUGAUCUUGGGCAGUUUGUUAGAGAAUCAGAGUAUGGACAAUAAACCCCACAAAGGUUAAAAAUUGAUUUUAUUCUAAAUCUCAUAUCUAUUUCCCUUUCUGGCUAAUUUUCAUUUUCUCUUUUUAGCUACCAAACUUGUUGAGUGUGUCAUCUAUGUGUACUACAUGAAUCUGACCUCAGAUACUCCAAUACAAAAAUGUGACUUCUAGGAUACCCUGCCUUACAUAUCUACUUAAAUUUGUUAAUGCACAACACAUCGAAUACACAAAUAUUUGAUUUGGGGAUGUGCAGGAAGAUUGAGGAGUUAAAAGUUGAAAGAGAAUCUAUCUCUUCAAUACUUCCCUAAAAAACAUAAGUAGAAAUACCAACAAUAGAUGCAGUAGUCUAGAAACCCUGAAAAGAACAUAGUUUUUUAAAAAAAAGACACACUAAAAGUAAACUUUGAUCAAGUUGAAUAAAAGUUAUGGAUUCAGAGGAGAUGAAGCCAAAAUGAAAAAGAAAAUGAUUUAAUCCUGUGUGUGGCCUCAGAAACAAAGCUGAAAUUACUGUGAUACAUCAAAGUAUAAUAUAAACAUGAAAUUACUUAAAGAAGAAACUAAAAGCUACUAAGUAUUCCCAGGAAUGAUGACUAGCUUGGAAAUAUCAACGGAGAACAUAAGUGGAACAAUGUCCCUCACAAAAUGAUAGCAGUGUGCAAGGCAGACUUAAUGGGAAAACUUUAAGACAGGAAGACCACUUAGGAAGUUAAAGUAGGUUGGCCAUGGAAAGAGGAGACCUGAUUUUGGAUCCCACUUUAAAUUCUAGAGUAUGUCUCCAGAUAGUGAUGUCUCUCACAAAAAUGAUGAUUUUACUUUAAGACAGAAUAGCUGAAACAAUACCCAAAUAAACAAAAAAACCAAACCCAGAAUUACUCAACUAGAAAAGUUCUGGAAGCUUUGCCAGCAAAGGUGAAGGACCGAGACAACAGAUCAUGGAAACAAAUCGAAAACUAUCGGGCUCUUGAAAAUCCUGUGAAAAUAGACAUAUUCCGAGUCUGAUCACAAUAUUUCAGGAAAAUCUACAAAAAAUUUUUUCUCUAAAAUACUGAAAAUAAGGAUCAGAUUGCUGCUCAAAAGAAUUAAGAUGUCAGCAGAAGUUAAUAGGUUCAACACACUGAAAAGGCGAAACACAGCAUGCAUCCUCCAAUAAAGUCCUUCUCAUUAGACUGUGAGCUUCUAGAGAACAGAUUCUGAGUUUUUUUGUUUGUUUUUUUGUUUUGUUUUUGCCUUUC